CAGUAUAUAUAAACUUUCUUUAUAAUCAAUAAAGUAAAUUAGAUAAAACAAUGGUACAAUGAUAGAACAUAUUUGUGGUUUAUCCUUGUCAGUGGAUAACUGUGGAUACAAGGAUAGAACAUUUUUUGUCUAGAUAUUAUGUAAUAAACAUCAUUUAUUUGAUAUCUCUCUUUCAAAUGAGAUUACUUCUGAACGGUAAUAUAAAUACUCAGUUAUCUAUUUAAGCUCAAUUUUUAGUAUACCAAAAGAAAUUAAUUUAAUGAGUUCGACAAUUUGGUUUAAUGUAUUGGAAGCUUAAGAUAAAUCUAGAAAUUUAACCAUCACUAGUUUUCUUGUGUCUACUUUUUUCCCGAUAUUAUUUGAAGAAAAAAGUAAUUGACAGUUUUGUUGAGCAAUACUUCUAUAGCCGAAAUGGGAGUCAAAAAAAAAUUGAUAUUCUUCCAAAUGCUGCGACUGUUGAUCGUGAACUGCUUUUUCUAAGAUUUCUGAAACAGACAAAAGUAUCGAUAGUUUUCGACUUCCUGUUUUAAAAGAAAAAUUGAUGAUAAAACUCAAAGUUUAAAAAAUAACAUAGUGCAGCCUUGAAUUAUGCAAGAUAGUUCAGCCUUUAAUUAUGCAAAGUGGUCGUCAAAGUCGUCAGCACUUGUCGCCUUGUUUAUUUUUAAUUUGUUAAGCUUUUCCUCAUAGACUUAAUAGACAUACGAAAAAAAAUAAACUAAAAAAAAUCUUUAACGAAAUUGAACUUGAUUUUUUUCAGGUUAAUUCAAAAGUCAGGUUAAUCGUAUAGACUUAUAUUUUAAAAACCAUACACACAAAGAAAAAACAAAACAAAGAAUGUUAGAGUUUUUGUUUGGAACAAAUAAUAUAAAUGAUAUACUUUCAUCUUUCUUGAAUGGAACAGUACAAUCUUUCAUAACUUCAGGUUUUGUUGGUACAAAACGUUACAAAUUCGCAAUGGUAAUCAGCAUGAUGACUGCAUGACGGCUAUCUUAAGUAUAAAAAGUUUCGUAGAAAGACAGCUUUCAAGUAGAUUUUAAAUUCCAGUUUACAACUAUAUCUCUAAACUAAAGUUUCCCAUUCUUUCUAUUUCAUUUAUAUAUAUUUUUAAUUAUUGUUUAA